AUGAUCCAGGCAUUGCGGGUUGUGUUGAGCAUUUUGUUAUUUCUGACUCUCUCUCUCUGUGCACAUUUUGAAACUAAAGGGAGUGUUGGAAGGUCAGUGACCCAAAUGGGAGGUCCCAUGACUGUCACCCAGGGAGACCCGAUCUCUCUCAAAUGUACCUAUGAAUCGUCAGGCCUAACCUAUCCAUUCUGGUACAUCCAGUCCCCUGGACAGCCUCCCAAGUUCUUCCUGAGGAAUUUCGGAGUGGAGAUUUCAGAUGAGGGCCUCUGCCAAGGGUUCAGAUCCAAGCAUGAUAAGAACCAGAGGACCUUCAAGAUGGAGAAACCCAACAGCCGGCUGAGUGACUCUUCGGUCUAUCUCUGUGCUGUGAGCUACACAAUGAGAGCAAGCAGCAGCAGCAAACUCAAGUGGAGAAUUCCUUGA